rnacentral:lncRNA from 1 species
GCGGAGACGACGACCGACAACAUUGGUUGGUGACAGUGGUCGGCGACGGUGGCCGGAGACGGUGGUCAGAGACGGUGAUGGCGGUCAGCGACGACGGAUGACCGACAACGAUGCCCGACAGCGACGGUGGACGGAAGACAACAACAGACGAUGGCAGACAGCGGCACUGGUGAGACAGAAACUCGGAUCACCCAUUGAAAUAUAAAGACAUAGGUUGAAAAAGAUACUUUUAGGGGGUCGCAAGUGACAGCAG